rnacentral:rRNA from 1 species
AUACGUAGGGGGCGAGCGUUGUCCGGAAUGAUUGGGCGUAAAGGGCGCGUAGGCGGCCCGGUAAGUCUGGAGUGAAAGUCCUGUUUUUAAGAUGGGAAUUGCUUUUGAUACUGUCGGGCUUGAGUGCAGGAGAGGUAAGUGGAAUUCCCAGUGUAGCGGUGAAAUGCGUAGAGAUUGGGAGGAACACCAGUGGCGAAGGCGACUUACUGGACUGUAACUGACGCUGAGGCGCGAAAGUGUGGGGAGCAAACAGGAUUAGAUACCCUGGUAGUCCACGCUGUAAACGAUGAAUACUAGGUGUGCGGGGACUGACCCCCUGCGUGCCGCAGCUAACGCAAUAAGUAUUCCACCUGGGGAGUACGAUCGCAAGGUUGAAACUCAAAGGAAUUGACGGGG